rnacentral:rRNA from 1 species
GACGAACGCUGGCGGCGUGCUUAACACAUGCAAGUCGAACGGAAAGGCCCUGCUUUUGUGGGGUGCUCGAGUGGCGAACGGGUGAGUAACACGUGAGUAACCUGCCCUUGACUUUGGGAUAACUUCAGGAAACUGGGGCUAAUACCGGAUAGGAGCUCCUGCUGCAUGGUGGGGGUUGGAAAGUUUCGGCGGUUGGGGAUGGACUCGCGGCUUAUCAGCUUGUUGGUGGGGUAGUGGCUUACCAAGGCUUUGACGGGUAGCCGGCCUGAGAGGGUGACCGGCCACAUUGGGACUGAGAUACGGCCCAGACUCCUACGGGAGGCAGCAGGGGGGAAUAUUGCACAAUGGGCGGAAGCCUGAGGCAGCAACGCCGCGUGCGGGAUGACGGCCUUCGGGUGGUAAACCGCUUUCGCCUGUGACGAAGCGUGAGUGACGGUAAUGGGUAAAGAAGCACCGGCUAACUACGUG